UACGUAGGGCGCAAGCGUUUGUCCGGAAUUAUUGGGCGUAAAGAGCUCGUAGGCGGUCUGUUACGUCUGCUGUGAAAACCCGGGGCUUAACCCCGGGCUUGCAGUGGAUACGGGCAGACUAGAGGCAGGUAGGGGAGAAUGGAAUUCCCGGUGUAGCGGUGAAAUGCGCAGAUAUCGGGAGGAACACCGGUGGCGAAGGCGGUUCUCUGGGCCUGACCUGACGCUGAGGAGCGAAAGCGUGGGGAGCGAACAGG
rnacentral:rRNA from 1 species